rnacentral:rRNA from 1 species
CCCUUAGACGUUCGGGGCCGCACGCGCGCUACACUGAAGGAAUCAGCACGUCUUUCUCCUUGUCCGAAAGGACUGGGUAACCCGCUGAACCUCCUUCGUGCUAGGGAUUGGGGCUUGUAAUUCUUCCCCAUGAACGAGGAAUUCCCAGUAAGCGCGAGUCAUAAGCUCGCGUUGAUUACGUCCCUGCCCUUUGUACACACCGCCCGUCGCUACUACCGAUUGGAUGGUUUAGUGAGAUCCUCGGAUUGGUCCCGGAGCGGCCUCUGGUCGUGCCGGAGUGCCGAAAAGAAUGUCGAACUUGAUCAUCUAGAGGAAGUAAAAGUCGUAACA